GACGAACGCUGGCGGCGUGCUUAACACAUGCAAGUCGAACGGAAAGGCCCUGCUUUUGUUGGGUGCUCGAGUGGCGAACGGGUGAGUAACACGUGAGUAACCUGCCCUUGACUUUGGGAUAACUUCAGGAAACUGGGGCUAAUAUCGGAUAGGAGCUCCUGCUGCAUGGUGGUGGUUGGAAAGAUUCGGCGGUUGUGGAUGGACUCGCGGCUUAUCAGCUUGUUGGUGGGGUAGUUGCUUACCAAGGCUUUGACGGGUAGCCGGCCUGAGAGGGUGACCGGCCACAUUGGGACUGCGAUACGGCGCAGACUCCUACGGUAGGCAGCAGUGGGGAAUAUUGCACAAUGGGCGGAAGCCUGAUGUAGCAAUGCCGCGUGCGGGAUGACGGCCUUCGGGUUGUAAACCGCUUUCGCCUGUGACGAAGCGUGAGUGACGGUAAUGGGUAAAGAAGCAACGGCUAACUACGUG
rnacentral:rRNA from 1 species